AGAAAACAGAGCUCUGUAAAUCUCUCUGAGUUGAUCAGUGGAAACAAGCUACUCUACAGAUUAUAUCUUUCUGUUAUCUCCAGGCACCCACAAAAUAGCAAGUUUAAUGUUUGACAAAAGAUGUAACAUUGAAUCCCAGCCCAAUGAAGUAGAUUUUCAUCCAAGUGGAACAACAUUUCUGCUAAAGAAUAACUCUGCAAAGACAAAGGUGACAUAAUUGGGCGUUAUUCAAAUCAUCUAAUUUAUAGAGUGAUGGCUAGAGAAUCAAAUUUAGAGAUAGUGGAUAUUGGUGAAAGAUGUGUAUUGCACAAUGAAUCGAAUGAACAAGAACCUAUUCAUGGAAGCCAAAGCAAAUCAAACACUCUGAGUACACAGAACAUGAGAUUUAAUGAAAUACCAAAAAUUGGUAUGAAAUUUGAUUGUGAUGAUAAUGCAUAUGAAUUCUACAAAGCAUAUGCUCACCGAAUAGGCUUUAGUGUAAGGAAACAGUUGGUGAAGCGAGCAAAUUCAGGACUUGUGAAAAGGCGAACAUUUUGUUGUUCGAAAGAGGGUAAACGAGUUGUUAACA